rnacentral:rRNA from 1 species
ACGGGAGGCAGCAGUGGGGAAUAUUGGGCAAUGGGCGGAAGCCUGACCCAGCAACGCCGCGUGAAGGAAGAAGGUCUUCGGAUUGUAAACUUCUUUUAUGAGGGACGAAGGACGUGACGGUACCUCAUGAAUAAGCCACGGCUAACUACGUGCCAGCAGCCGCGGUAAUACGUAGGUGGCGAGCGUUAUCCGGAUUUACUGGGUGUAAAGGGCGCGUAGGCGGGGAUGCAAGUCAGGUGUGAAAACUACGGGCUUAACCCAUAAACUGCAUUUGAAACUGUAUCUCUUGAGUGCUGGAGAGGUAGAUGGAAUUCCUUGUGUAGCGGUGAAAUGCGUAGAUAUAAGGAAGAACACCAGUGGCGAAGGCGAUCUACUGGACAGUAACUGACGCUGAGGCGCGAAAGCGUGGGGAGCAAACAGGAUUAGAUACCCUGGUA